UACGUAGGGGGCCAGCGUUGCUCGGAAUUACUGGGCGUAAAGGGUCCGUAGGCGGUGUGGCAAGUCGGGAGUGAAAUCCCUGGGCUUAACCCAGGGGCUGCUUCCGAAACUGCCGUGCUAGAGUGUGAGAGAGGCGAGUGGAAUUACGGGUGUAGCGGUGAAAUGCGUAGAUAUCCGUAGGAACAUCCGAGGCGAAGGCGGCUCGCUGGAUCACAACUGACGCUGAGGGACGAAAGCUAGGGGAGCAAACAGG
rnacentral:rRNA from 1 species